rnacentral:SRP_RNA from 1 species
GCUGGGUGUGGUGGUGCGCACCUGUCGUCUCAGCUACUCGGGAGGCUGAGGCACGAGAAUCACCUGAGCUUGGAAAGUGGAGGUUUCAGUGAGCCGAGAUGGCAUCACUGUACUCCAGCCUGGGUGACUUUUUUUUUUUUUUUUUUUUUUUUGAGGCGGAGUCUUGCUCUAUCACCCAGGCUGGAGUACAGUGAUGCCAUCUCGGCUCACUGAAACCUCCACUUUCCAAGCUCAGGUGAUUCUCGUGCCUCAG